GUAGGUGGCAAGCGUUAUCCGGAAUUAUUGGGCGUAAAGCGCGCGCAGGUGGUUUCUUAAGUCUGAUGUGAAAGCCCACGGCUCAACCGUGGAGGGUCAUUGGAAACUGGGAGACUUGGGUGCAGAAGAGGAAAGUGGAAUUCCAUGUGUAGCGGUGAAAUGCGUAGAGAUAUGGAGGAACACCAGUGGCGAAGGCGACUUUCUGGUCUGUAACUGACANUGANGCGCGAAAGCGUGGGGAGCAAACAGGAUUAGAUACCCUGGUAGUCCACGCCGUAAACGAUGAGUGCUAAGUGUUAGAGGGUUUCCGCCCUUUAGUGCUGAAGUUAACGCAUUAAGCACUCCGCCUGGGGAGU
rnacentral:rRNA from 1 species